AUUGAACGCUGGCGGAAUGCUUUACACAUGCAAGUCGAGCGGCAGCGCGGCCUUCGGGCUGGCGGCGAGCGGCGAACGGGUGAGUAAUGCAUCGGAACAUGCCCAGUCGUGGGGGAUAACACUUCGAAAGAAGUGCUAAUACCGCAUACGUCCUGAGGGGGAAAGCGGGGGAUCGCAAGACCUCGCGCGAUUGGAGUGGCCGAUGUCAGGUUAGCUAGUUGGUGGGGUAAAGGCCUACCAAGGCGACGAUCUGUAGCUGGUCUGAGAGGAUGAUCAGCCACACUGGGACUGAGACACGGCCCAGCCUCCGACGGGAGGCAGCAGUGGGGAAUUUUGGACAAUGGGGGCAACCCUGAUCCAGCCAUUCCGCGUGAGUGAAGAAGGCCUUCGGGUUGUAAAGCUCUUUCGGCAGGAACGAAACGGUGGGCUCUAACAUAGUCCGCUAAUGACGGUACCUGAAGAAGAAGCACCGGCUAACUACGUG
rnacentral:rRNA from 1 species